rnacentral:rRNA from 1 species
GAUGAACGCUGGCGGUAUGCUUAACACAUGCAAGUCGAACGGACUCUUCGGAGUUAGUGGCGGACGGGUGAGGAACGCGUGAGAAUCUGGCUUUGGGUUCGGGACAACCACUGGAAACGGUGGCCAAUACCGGAUGUGUCGAGAGGUAAAAGAGAAAUUGCCUGAAGAUGAGCUCGGGUCUGAUUAGCUAGUUGGAGAGGUAAAGGCUCACCAAGGCAGCGAUCAGUAGCUGGUCUGAGAGGAUGACCAGCCACACUGGGACUGAGACACGGCCCAGAAUCUUACGGGAGGCAGCAGUGAGGAAUUUUCCGCAAUGGGCGAAAGCCUGACGGAGCAAUACCGCGUGAGGGAAGAAGGCUCUGGGGUGGUAGACCUCUUUUCUUAGAGAAGAACAAAAUGACGGUACCUAAGGAAUCAGCAUCGGCUAACUCCGUG